UAUCAUCUUGGAUGCUUUGUGAAGAGCAGGUGGAAAGGAGGCAAUUGCCUAGUUCAUCGUAGAAGUAAUGAUGUCUUGGACUAGAAUUAGGAUUUGCAAUUCAGGGGAGGAAUCUGACUUGGAGACAGAUUUGAGAGCUAUCAGCAUAUAGAUGAUACUUGAAGACACGGUUGUGAAGGAGAAUGUCUCAGGAGAGUGGAAGGCAAGAGGUCAGGGGACAGGAAGCCUGCACGACUGAAAAGGAGCAACUGGAAGUUGAAAAAGAAAUAGGAAAAUGUGAGUAAAGCUUACAGAAGAGAAUGUUUUAAUGAAGGGGAGGUGGUCAACAGCAGUACAGGCUACUGAGAGAUCAAAGAACAUUAAUAUUUUAAAGUAGCCAUUGAAUUUACAGUUGGUUUUUUUUUUUUUUUUUUAAGUUAAGGGGUACAUGUGCAGGUUUGUUGGAUGGGUAAACUUGUGUCAUGGAGGUUUGUUGUACAGAUCAUUUCAUCACCCAGGUAUUAAGCCAUAGUACCCAUUAGUUAUUUUUCCUGAUCCUCUCCCUCUGUCUAUCCACCCCACUCUGGUAGGCCCCAGUGUCUGUUGUUCCCCUCAAUGUGCAGUUAGGAUGUAUUUGACGAUCUGUGAGUGUUGUUUCAGAAUAAUGGGUGAAGAAAUCAGACUACAUUGGGUUCUUUAAUUUAAGGCACUAUGAUGAACACCUUCUGUGCUGGGUGCUAGAGUCCAGAAUCUGACAUAAUCUCUGCUCUCAAUACAGCAGAUUUAUGGCAGAUUGAAAAGUAGGCCGGGUGCAGUGGCUUAUGCCUGUAAUCCUAGCACUUUGGGAGGCCGAGGCGGGUGGGUCACGAGGUCAGGAGUUCGAGACCAGCCUGACCAACAUGGUGAAACCCUGUCUCUACUAAAAAUAGAAAAA